rnacentral:rRNA from 1 species
CCUACGGGUGGCAGCAGUGGGGGAUAUUGCACAAUGGGGGAAACCCUGAUGCAGCGACGCCGCGUGGGUGAAGAAGCGCCUCGGCGCGUACAGCCCUGUCAGCAGGGAAGAAAAUGACGGUACCUGAAGAAGAAGCCCCGUCUGACUACGUUCCAGCAGCCGCGGGAAUACGUAGGGGGCAAGCGUUAUCCGGAUUUACUGGGUGUAAAGGGGGCGCAGACGGCGAGGCAAGCCAGGAGUGAAAGCCCGGGGCCCAACCCCGGGACUGCUCUUGGAACUGCGGGGCUAGAGUGCAGGAGGGGCAGGCGGAAUUUCUGGUGUAGCGGUGAAAUGCGUAGAUAUCAGGAGGAAAACCGGUGGCGAAGGCGGCCUGCUGGACUGCAACUGACGUUGAGGCACGAAAGCGUGGGGAGCAAACAGGAUUAGAUACCCGAGUAGUC